UACGUAGGGCGCAAGCGUUGUCCGGAAUUAUUGGGCGUAAAGAGCUCGUAGGCGGUUUGUCGCGUCUGCUGUGAAAACCUAAGGCUCAACCUUGGGCUUGCAGUGGGUACGGGCAGACUAGAGUGCGGUAGGGGUGACUGGAAUUCCAGGUGUAGCGGUGAAAUGCGUAGAUAUCUGGAGGAACACCGGUGGCGAAGGCGGCAUUCUGGACCGACAUUGACGCUGAGGAGCGAAAGCCAGGGGAGCAAACGGG
rnacentral:rRNA from 1 species